UACGGGGGGGGUAAGCGUUGUUCGGAAUUACUGGGCGUAAAGGGCGCGUAGGCGGCCUUGUAAGUCAGGUGUGAAAUCCCUCGGCUCAACCGAGGAACGGCGCUUGAUACUGCAAGGCUUGAGGGAGACAGGGGUAAGCGGAACUGAUGGUGGAGCGGUGAAAUGCGUUGAUAUCAUCAGGAACACCGGUGGCGAAAGCGGCUUACUGGGUCUCUUCUGACGCUGAGGCGCGAAGGCGUGGGGAGCAAACGGG
rnacentral:rRNA from 1 species